rnacentral:tRNA from 1 species
ACGCGCAUAGCACAGUCGGAUCAGAGCGUUACCCUCCGAAGGUCAAGGCCGGCGGUUCGAUACCGUCUGCGCGUGCCA